UGUGAGAACCCCCUGAGCCGGCAGUGUUCCUAAACUAGCUGUGAGACUACUCCUGAUCCUGGGUCCCUAAACAACCUUUGACCUCCCUCAAAGUCCUCACCACCAGCCUCCCUCCCGGACGGACAUCACCCGCAGGCCAGCCAGAUCGGCUCCUCCCAAAUUGACUCUUUUGCUCCUUCUGUUACAUAACGCACUGCAUUCUGGUAUUCACGAGAGACUGGGCUUCUGUGAUUCGAAACAAUUGGGGGGAGUGACGUGAUGGAGUGAUGAUACUAGUCUGCUCAUUCUCACUCAGUGUGGAAUGUGUGUUCUCUCCUCACUCUCUCACCAUUUCUUUCUCUUCUCUCUUACUCUGUCUCUCUCCUUCUCUUGUUUGCACUCCCUCUCUCCAUCCUCUCUCAGGUGCUUUUAUGGCUAACAGGGUUGGUGCACGGACACAGCCACCGCAUACACAGGACUGGAGCGGCCAGCUGGGUCUUCAACAGAACUGGAGAGGUCCUCUGGGUCUUCAACAGGACUGGAGCGUCCCGCUGGAUCUUCAACAGGACUGGAGCGGCCAGCUGGGUCUUCAACAGGACUGGAGCGGCCAGCUGGGUCUUCAACAGGACUGGAGCGGCCAGCUGGGUCUUCAACAGGACUGGAGCAUCCCGCGGAGUGUUCAACAGAACUGGAGCGGCCAGCUGGAUCUUCAACAGGACUGGAGCGGCCAGCUGGGUCUUCAACAGGACCUGUUAAUUCUCACUCCAUCCUUGUUUGGCAGAGCUACUGUCACAUGGCCGAGAGAAGCUUUGCCGUCUUCCUUUUCUUACUGCUCACAGCGAGGUCACACUUUCUCCAGAAUCUUCAAGAUGCCGUGCAGGUUUCAGUCAUAUUUACCAGUGAGGUGA
ensembl:lncRNA